rnacentral:rRNA from 1 species
GGAAUGAAGAGAUUCAUGGUCAGCGUAUUCAGUAUUAAUGCAGGCUAUGAUGUGAUGAUAGAAUCCUUGUGGUCACUAGAUUAUACUUGCUUGUAUUAUUUUUGCUGGGUAGGUCGGCGUGCACUUCUCUUCUAGUAGAACGUCGCAACCCGUUGGAUGUUUAUUUAUGGCCUAAAUGGUAGCCUCUGAUAUUUUAAAAUAUCGAAGACCUUUGGUGUCCUGAUAAGCUGUCUGACGGUAAACAUAUAGUAUUGAGCCGCAAUUAUUUGCGUUAGACUUACCGCAAGUAAGAUUUU